rnacentral:rRNA from 1 species
AGCGAACGCUGGCGGCAGGCUUAACACAUGCAAGUCGAGCGGGCGUAGCAAUACGUCAGCGGCAGACGGGUGAGUAACGCGUGGGAACGUACCUUUUGGUUCGGAACAACACAGGGAAACUUGUGCUAAUACCGGGUAAGCCCUUACGGGGAAAGAUUUAUCGCCGAAAGAUCGGCCCGCGUCUGAUUAGCUAGUUGGUGAGGUAACGGCUCACCAAGGCGACGAUCAGUAGCUGGUCUGAGAGGAUGAUCAGCCACAUUGGGACUGAGACACGGCCCAAACUCCUACGGGAGGCAGCAGUGGGGAAUAUUGGACAAUGGGGGCAACCCUGAUCCAGCCAUGCCGCGUGAGUGAUGAAGGCCCUAGGGUUGUAAAGCUCUUUUGUGCGGGAAGAUAAUGACGGUACCGCAAGAAUAAGCCCCGGCUAACUUCGUGCCAGCCGCCGCAGUAA